rnacentral:rRNA from 1 species
AGAGUUUGAUCCUGGCUCAGGAUGAACGCUAGCGACAGGCUUAACACAUGCAAGUCGAGGGGCAGCGGGGGUAGCAAUACCCGCCGGCGACCGGCGCACGGGUGAGUAACGCGUAUGCAACUUACCUAUCAGAGGGGGAUAACCCGGCGAAAGUCGGACUAAUACCGCAUGAAGCAGGGAUCCCGCAUGGGAAUAUUUGCUAAAGAUUCAUCGCUGAUAGAUAGGCAUGCGUUCCAUUAGGCAGUUGGCGGGGUAACGGCCCACCAAACCGACGAUGGAUAGGGGUUCUGAGAGGAAGGUCCCCCACAUUGGUACUGAGACACGGACCAAACUCCUACGGGAGGCAGCAGUGAGGAAUAUUGGUCAAUGGACGCAAGUCUGAACCAGCCAUGCCGCGUGCAGGAAGACGGCUCUAUGAGUUGUAAACUGCUUUUGUACGAGGGUAAACGCUCUUACGCGUAAGAGCCUGAAAGUAUCGUACGAAUAAGGAUCGGCUAACUCCGUGCCAGCAGCCGCGGUAAUACGGAGGAUUCAAGCGUUAUCCGGAUUUAUUGGGUUUAAAGGGUGCGUAGGCGGUUUGAUAAGUUAGAGGUGAAAUACCGGUGCUUAACACCGGAACUGCCUCUAAUACUGUUGAACUAGAGAGUAGUUGCGGUAGGCGGAAUGUAUGGUGUAGCGGUGAAAUGCUUAGAGAUCAUACAGAACACCGAUUGCGAAGGCAGCUUACCAAACUAUAUCUGACGUUGAGGCACGAAAGCGUGGGGAGCAAACAGGAUUAGAUACCCUGGUAGUCCACGCAGUAAACGAUGAUAACUCGUUGUCGGCGAUACACAGUCGGUGACUAAGAGAAAUCGAUAAGCUAUCCACCUGGGGAGUACGUUCGC